rnacentral:tRNA from 1 species
GGGCGCUUAGCUCAGCGGGAGAGCACUGCCUUCACACGGCAGGGGCCACUGGUUCGAUCCCAGUAGCGCCCACCA